UGACGACCAUAGCGAGGUGGUCCCACUCCUUCCCAUCCCGAACAGGACAGUGAAACACCUCAGCGCCGAUGAUAGUGCGCAUUCGCGUGUGAAAGUAGGUCAUCGUCA
rnacentral:rRNA from 1 species